UAACAUGAGUGCAGGCAAAAUUAGA
rnacentral:piRNA from 1 species